rnacentral:lncRNA from 1 species
UAAAAUUUACAUUUAGAAAGUUAUAAUUUUAAUUUUUGAAAAUUUAUUGAAAUUAUUUUUAUUAUAAAAUUAUAAUAUUAAUUAAAAUAUAAUAGAAAUAUUUUGAUAUUUUCAUAAUUUCAAUUUUAAGUUUUUUACUAAAUAUUUUUACUUUUGUAUAUAUAUUGUUUUAAAAAAAAAAGAAAAAAGUUUUACCCUCC